UGGCAGAUGGUGCCUGGCUGACUUACACAACUUCUCUGGGCCUGAACUACUGCAUCUGCAGAGUAGGAACCGGAUUACCAACAGAGUAAUGAGAUUGGCCAUGAGGAUCUGAGAAUUGACGUAUGUGUGACAGCAGCCACAUUCAGUGCACAGAUUGGUUCUCCACUUCGAUUGUUGUGAAACAUAUUUCAUGUGAGCCAGAUCGAUAUCAUUGACCAGCUCAACGGACUCCACGCCACUCCCAGUCAAUGUGAUAAGGUCUUGAGACAAGGCGAUUAAUUAUGCCAGAAGCUGGAUGCUCUCAUACUCAUGGUGCUUUAAUAAAUGAAGUCAAGUCACCUGCAAGCAGCAUGACAGGCACAUUGGAGGUUGAGGACCUCUGGAAUAGAUUAUAUUUCUGCCUUCACGGAGCUGGCAGUCUCAUCAGAGCCAAACUGUAAACACCAAACAAGGAAGUAGAUACAUAAUUACAAACUGAGAAGUGGCCAUGAAGGAACUGAACUGGUGCUGGAGGGAGACGAGCAGGGGAAGACCCUCCAUUGGAAAGGGGACCAGAAAGGGUCUUGGAGGAGGUGACAUUCCAGCAGGUCAAACCACUUAAGAUGAAAAUGAAUCAGACUUGAAGGAAGACUGCAGAGACCUGCCAGGCUAGACUGUGAAGGAUAUUUGCAGACACAUAGAAAGACUUCAGAAUUUAUUCCAAGGUCCCCGUGGGUGAAGAGGAAGCAAGGGCCCACUGAGGGAGAAGGGAAUGAUCAGACUUGCACUGGAGCAGCAGCAGAUCCAUGCCCACAGCCCGUGGGUUCCCACAGCUCUCCCUGUUACAUUGUGCGUCUCCUGCUUUGUUCAGGAGCCUCAGAUGCUGGGUCACCAAGAUCUAAAUGCUAGAGUUGCUCAGAGUGUGGACUCCCACAGUUCAAGAUGAAGCUAGUAGGUCCAGUCCCUUUGGCUUCCAAACUGGAAUUUAAAUUUAAUUCCUAUGAGCUCCCUGAUGUUCUUACUUCCCAGCCUGACUCCAUAGAGAUCCUUAACUGAUGUCAGAAUUCCUUGCCAUAAUCUACAGUCAUGGAAACUAUAGUUUCUUUCAGAAAUAUACACACAUAUACAUGCAUGUAUAUGUAAAAAUUUAAAUCAAUUAUGCUUUUUUUUGGGGGGGGGCAGGGGGGGCAGGCUGAAAAAUGAUAUUGGUGAGUCACACAGCAGAUAAAGGCAUCUCUACCAAAGGACUAUCAGGAAUGAAGCAGAGCUUUUCUAUGCAACCUGAAGCUCUCUAUAUAAAUGAAUAAAUGAAAUUAUAAAUAAAGA